GAUGGACGCUGGCGGCGUGCCUAAUACAUGCAAGUCGAGCGAACAGACGAGGAGCUUGCUCCUCUGACGUUAGCGGCGGACGGGUGAGUAACACGUGGAUAACCUACCUAUAAGACUGGGAUAACUUCGGGAAACCGGAGCUGAUACCGGAUAAUAUAUUGAACCGCAUGGUUCAAUAGUGAAAGACGGUUUUGCUGUCUCUUAUAGAUGGAUCCGCGCCGCAUUAGCUAGUUGGUAAGGUAACGGCUUACCAAGGCAACGAUGCGUAGCCGACCUGAGAGGGUGAUCGGCCACACUGGAACUGAGACACGGUCCAGACUCCUACGGGAGGCAGCAGUAGGGAAUCUUCCGCAAUGGGCGAAAGCCUGACGGAGCAACGCCGCGUGAGUGAUGAAGGUCUUCGGAUCGUAAAACUCUGUUAUUAGGGAAGAACAAAUGUGUAAGUAACUAUGCACGUCUUGACGGUACCUAAUCAGAAAGCCACGGCUAACUACGUG
rnacentral:rRNA from 1 species